AGUGAACGCUGGCGGCGUGCCUAAUACAUGCAAGUCGAACGGAGUGGCGCAAGGGGGAGUGAUAUAUAGCGAAUAUGCCCCUUGCUGGAGGACAACAGUGAGAAAUGACUGCGAAUACUCCAUAGCAAGGGAUGAGAAGAUAUCGUAUUAGCUAGUCGGUGGGGUCAAGGCCUACAGAGGCUAGUACGAGUAACUGGGCUGAGAGGAUGCUCCGACACCUUGUAACUGAGGCACCGUCCAAACUCAUACGGGAGGCAGCAUUAGCGAGUCGUGCGCAAUGGGCGACAACCUGUCCCGGCAUCGCGUCGUGAAGGAUGCCCCUUCUCGGAGCGUAAACUCCUUUUGUUAGGGACGCGGUACCUAACGAAUAAGCACCGGCUAACUCCGUGCCAGCAGCCGCGGUAAUAC
rnacentral:rRNA from 1 species